rnacentral:rRNA from 1 species
AUUGAACGCUGGCGGCAGGCCUAACACAUGCAAGUCGAACGGUAACAGGAAACAGCUUGCUGUUUCGCUGACGAGUGGCGGACGGGUGAGUAAUGUCUGGGAAACUGCCUGAUGGAGGGGGAUAACUACUGGAAACGGUAGCUAAUACCGCAUAACGUCGCAAGGCCAAAGAGGGGGACCUUCGGGCCUCUUGCCAUCGGAUGUGCCCAGAUGGGAUUAGCUAGUAGGUGGGGUAACGGCUCACCUAGGCGACGAUCCCUAGCUGGUCUGAGAGGAUGACCAGCCACACUGGAACUGAGACACGGUCCAGACUCCUACGGGAGGUAGCAGUGGGGAAUAUUGCACAAUGGGCGCAAGCCUGAUGCAGCCAUGCCGCGUGUAUGAAGAAGGCCUUCGGGUUGUAAAGUACUUUCAGCGGGGAGGAAGGGAGUAAAGUUAAUACCUUUGCUCAUUGACGUUACCCGCAGAAGAAGCACCGGCUAACUCCGUG